CGCCAUUUUCGAUGACAGGUGAAGGACACAGAACCAUUUGUCCCAAUUGAAGUCCUACACCGAAUAUUUGUGCCUAACCCACCCUGUCAACUUUCCCUGUGGGAGGAAACCGGAGUACCCGGGGAAAACCCACGACCUUCGGCAGAGCGUUGACUUUUUACUCUUUUCACAUGAGGACUGGGUUCGAGUCGCAUUGAGAAAGUUCUCACUGAGACUCGAACCUGCGGCCUUAGAGGUGAAAGGCAAGUGCUCUAACCACUUGGCCACC